rnacentral:sRNA from 1 species
GGGGAGAUCACUGGUGUGCUGAGGGUGGAAGAAAACGGGAAAGUGGAGCUAGGUGGGAAGUUCAUUGGAAUAGACGGUCCAGAGAAGAGAAUAUGGGUCAGAAGUCAUGAGGCUUUGGCUUAGCAUGGGCAGUGUGGAAAGCUCUAGAUCCAGUCCCCAAACUUGGCCCUAGUCCACUGACUUGUUACAUCAUCUUGGGCAAAACACUGUACCUUUUGAACCUCAGCUCUUUCAUCUGUAUACAAAAGUGUUAGAUCUCCUCCACGGCCCCCUUUAGUCCUCAAGUCUGUACUUUAGAGUGUUUUCAUGGGAGGGAUCCUCCCAUCUUCUUCUGCCCCAGGGUCCCCAGUUCACCUUCUCCCAGGAGGACUUGCUGACUUCCAUCCUUCCCUCCCUCACGGAAAUUGACACUGUGGUCUUCAUUUUCACCCUGGAUGACAACCUCAUGGAGGUGCAGACUAUAGUGGAGCAAGUGAAAGAGAAGACCAGCCACAUCCAGGCCUUGGCACACAGCACCAUGGGUCAGACCUUGCCGAUCCGUCUGAAGAAGCUCUUUCCCUCCAUCAUCAGCAUCACAUG